AACGAACGCUGGCGGCGUGGAUAAGACAUGCAAGUCGAACGGAGUAAUCUGGUAGCAAUAUUAGGUUACUUAGUGGCAAACGGGUGCGUAACACGUGGAUAACAUUCCAGAAAGCGCGGGAUAGCCCAGGGAAACUUGGAUUAAUACCGCAUGUGGUCGCAAGACUAAAGGCGCAAGCCGCUUACUGAUUGGUCCGCGGCCUAUCAGCUAGUUGGUGAGGUAAAAGCUCACCAAGGCAACGACGGGUAGCUGGUCUGAGAGGACGACCAGCCACACUGGAACUGAGACACGGUCCAGACACCUACGGGUGGCAGCAGUCGAGAAUCUUUCACAAUGGGGGCAACCCUGAUGGAGCGACGCCGCGUGGAGGAUAAGGUCUUCGGAUUGUAAACUCCUGUCAUGCGAGAGCAAGACAUGGCAACAUGUUUGAUAGUAUCGCAAGAGGAAGAGACGGCUAACUCUGUGC
rnacentral:rRNA from 1 species